CACCAGUCAGACUUGAUAUAGGAGUGAAUUUGUUGCUUUUUAAAGCGGCAGUCGGUCUGUACAUGUGUGAGGUGGCGAGGGGUGUCGCCAGGGGGCGGCUAGUAGCGUCUGCCACCAGGGAAAUAUGUAAAAACAUAAAAAAGACGCUUCUCAAGAAAGAAAAGGCCAGCCCUCCCCUAGAAGGAGGCACCUGCAACAUCAAGUUUUAGUUCAGAGGCUACAUAAAGAUCAAGAUCAUCCUGAUCCCCGAGGCCCGGGCGCACGCGCGUCAUGUAAACAAAGUACAAACAUACUCCCACAGUCCCACAGCCUGCCCUACACGACCCCAGCAAACACACAAGAACAAGCUAUAGAGCUACAUCGUCGAUACCCUUACAACUACAAGCUAUAGCAAAUUUCUACAGAUAUUUUGUCAGAUUUGGUCAGAUUAUGCAUAAUUCAGUCUGGCAACACUGCCAAGGCAUCCAGUCUCCCAGCAAGUGCCAAGAGGCAUUCAUUCAAUGCUCCGCUGACACCAAUUUGCCCAAAGGUAUGCAUUAUAUGUGGAAAGUACAUUACGUACGGUGUAGAGGUGGUUGUCUAGUGAUAUAAAUGGUAAGGUGGUGGUGCUGGUGAUUGUGAUGGUGCCACAGUAUUAUUACCGUAUGUCAGUAUAUUGAGGCUUGAUAUCACUUUUAUUAAUGUGCCAGUAUUUCAUUACCUACCUUAUGAAACAACACUAGCUCUUCAUAUAUUCUUUUCUACAAACCUUUAACAAUAAUUGAAAUGUUUUUUUUAAAUUGAAUUCAAUGCCUUUUUUUUUUAUUGAUGAAAACAGGAAAUAAUUAUGGCUACCACUGGCUAGACACGCAUACCUUGCCUUGAAUUUAGGUAUGGUUAGCUUAGGUUUGAUAUGGUUGGGUGUAGUUACGUUAGGUUAGUUUUGGGUAUGGUUAGGUUAGGUUACAGCAAGUACAGUUAGGUUAGUUUGGGUGUGGUUAGGUUUGGAUGUGGUUAAGUUAGUUUAGGUAUGGUUAGGUUACAGCAGGUAUGGUUAGGUUAGUUUUGGUGUGGUCAAGUUAGUUUAGGUAUGGUUAAGUUACAGCAGGUAUGGUUAGUUUAGGUAUGCUCCACAGGUAUGUAGAGAGAUAGAUAAAUGGUUAGAUAAAACAAAGUUAAAUAGACUGAGAGAUAGAGAGAUAGAUGGUUAGAUUAGGUAAAUAGAUAGACAUUGAGAGAUAAGCAGAGAUAGGCCUAGUUAGGUUAGGUCCAGCAGAUACUUAGAUCAAUGGGUAGACUGAGAGAUUAAUAGAUAGACAAAAUAACAAAUAGAUAAAUAAGCAGAGCCUACAAAACUAUCACUAAUAUUAUGAAAAACCUCUUCAACACCCUAACAAUUAAAAAAUAAAUCAUUAAAAAACCAGAAAGGAAGUAUUCAACAAACAAAUUCUUCUAUGUGUAUCUAAACUUAGUAAAAAUCCACAGAACAAUUGCAUUAGUAAACACAGUGUUAGGUUGUAUCUCAUUUAAAGCUGGCGUUAUCAAGCUUGAGCCCACCAUUCCUUCUUCUGCCCUGAUUACUGAACCAAAGGAUUUUGCUGAUGCUUCCUCGUAGAGAUACCUUUUAUCAUUAUCUUCUCAUCUCAUUUACUCCCUCAUUCCUAUUGGUUUAAUAUCUUGCGUCUGAAGCACUAAGCUGAUUAUGUGGCAAUGAGAUUGUUAUAGUUAUUUUUUAUGUUAGGUGAAUACCCUCUCCAUUAGGGGCUGAUAGCACUAAGAGCGUGAAUGAUGUGUGUAUGAGUGGAUGGUGCUCUGUCUGGGCCACCCUGUGUGGGAUUGCCAACCUGGUGGACAGAUGGACAGGUGGACAGGUGGACAGAUAGAUACAUAGAAACUCCCUUGCUGUACCCAUUAAAUGUAAAUAAAUAGAUAAACUUUUAUUUACUUUUCCUCUUUCCUGCUCUCAUUCUUGCCUUCAUUGUUUCCAUUAUAACCUACUCCAUUAAUUAAUAGCUUUCUCCCCCUCCUGUUACAUCUUCAAAGUGUUUCAUCAUUCCUU